rnacentral:rRNA from 1 species
ACGAACGCUGGCGGCGUGCUUAACCCAUGCAAGUCGAACGGAAAGGCCCUGCUUUUGUGGGGUGCUCGCGUGGCGAACGGGUGAGUAACACGUGAGUAACCUGCCCUUGACUUUGGGAUAACUUCAGGAAACUGGGGCUAAUACCGGAUAGGAGCUCCUGCUGCAUGGUGGGGGUUGGAAAGUUUCGGCGGUUGGGGAUGGACUCGCGGCUUAUCAGCUUGUUGGUGGGGUAGUGGCUUACCAAGGCUUUGACGGGUAGCCGGCCUGAGAGGGUGACCGGCCACAUUGGGACUGAGAUACGGCCCAGACUCCUACGGGAGGCAGCAGUGGGGAAUAUUGCACAAUGGGCGGAAGCCUGAUGCAGCAACGCCGCGUGCGGGAUGACGGCCUUCGGGUUGUAAACCGCUUUCGCCUGUGACGAAGCGUGAGUGACGGUAAUGGGUAAAGAAGCACCGGCUAACUACGUG